CAGUAGCCACGGUAAUACGUAGGGUGCAAGCGUUAAUCGGAAUUACUGGGCGUAAAGCGUGCGCAGGCGGUUAUAUAAGUCAGAUGUGAAAUCCCCGGGCUCAACCUGGGAACUGCAUUUGAGACUGUAUGGCUAGAGUGUGUCAGAGGGGGGUAGAAUUCCACGUGUAGCAGUGAAAUGCGUAGAUAUGUGGAGGAAUACCGAUGGCGAAGGCAGCCCCCUGGGAUAACACUGACACUCAUGCACGAAAGCGUGGGGAGCAAACAGGAUUAGAUACCCGCGUAGUCCCUGUCUCUUAUAC
rnacentral:rRNA from 1 species